GCUUUGGUCCUCUGUGAUUCAGAGUCCAUCUGGAAUCUCUUCAUGGCCGCUGCCUCGCUGGCACGGGCUUUGGACUGAAGCAAGCUUAGGACAAGUUUGGGUUCUAGAGAGCGGCAAGCAGAGUAUCUGUUCGGACAUCCCUUGCUGAUUUUUAGAUGUGACUGCCAGACUCCUGCUGGUCUCAGGUCCAGAGCCCUGGCCGCACCCCCCCCCCCUUCCUCAACCAACGUCUUACCAGUCUUCCUCAACCAACGUCAACUCCCAGGGCUGACACCUUGGAACAUGGCCUCUCUCAAGCCUCAAGCCCCAAGCUGAGCUCCUGUCCCUACCUCAGGCAGGAUCUCACGGAUGCUUCUAAUGAAGUUCUCUCCGACUCUGUCUGAGCACCCACCACGCGAGGAAGGAGCUGCGGCCGACGGCCCUCAGCCCCGGCUGCUGACAGCAGCGAUCCAUCUCCAUCACCAUGAAAAUCUCAGGCCCAGCUUGGUUGGGAAACCUACUGAAGGAAAACCCUAUAGUUAGAAAACAGAGAGCCAACAUAUGCUCCCCAACUGGAGUCUCAAGGGCCACAGCCAAGCAAGAGGCCCAAGUUCCUGGAGAUGUUCUCUGGAUCACCAGUGCUCUGUUUAAGAUCGCCCAUCCUACACUCUGGGGCAAGCCCAGGCAGAGACCUUCAACUUGAACAUUCUCUGCUCUGAGGUGCUCUUGGACAAGAAGAAUAUCCGUGUGCUGGACGUGGGGUAUGCUUGGGGCAUGAGUGUGCUACACGUCUCUGUUUUGAGAGAGGAGCUACUUGGAUAUCAACCAGACUGGGUUUUUUUCCCCCCCGCACGUGUGUGUGUGUGUGUGUGUGUGUGCGUGUGUGGUGUUUGUGUGUGUGUGUGUGUGUGUGUGUGUGUGUGUGUGUGUGUGUGUGUGUAGGCAGUGGCUGGCACCAAAAUGCUUGCUGAUUAAUCUUUGUCUUCAGCAUGCCCAGCUUCAGUCCCUGGGAAGCUCCAGGCCCGAGCUGGUGUCCAAUGGGCCUGAGGGGGCAGAAUCAGGCCCAGGAAGAUGGAUUUCCCUGUCCCUUUGGCUUGUGCCCAGCAGGGAAAGGGGGAAAGGCUGUUUCAUUAUGUUUAAUGGGAUUAUUGGGGGG
rnacentral:lncRNA from 1 species